GGCACGCACGGCUCGUCCUCCUCGCCGUCGUUGGGCCCCUCUCCACCGAAGCCAGCAGCGUAUCCGUCGUCGCUCACUUCGCGUGCGGAGUGCGGACUGCAGCCGCCGCGAGUAGUGUAGUCAGUCAGUCGAGAGCACGCGUGCGCGAGACUAGCUACUCGCACUUUCCCCGGACAUUUUGGAGCACGUUUGCCAAACGCGAGUAUACACCCACGACUCGUAUAUAUCUACUCGUGUCGCGAGUAUACCUAUACUAUAAUAUCGUCGUAUACCCGCACGCGGAGGUCGAGUAUAGAGAAGCGUAAACGUAAAACAGUGUGUGCUGAGGCUUGUUCGACGAGUCGGAGAGUAGCUGCGUAUAAUACAGUGUCGCCGGCCAAAAUGUGAUGUACAUAUAUGCAGACGAGCACACCUACGUCGCAGUAUAGUAUCGCACACACCUCGUCGCUCUGUGGAUCAUCGUCGUUUGCUGGGCGGUCAACGUCGCUGCUGUGGGGAUAGUAUUCUCGGCUUUUUUUCACGGUUUUAUGCCCCCGAGAGAGCCGGCGGGCUACCGUAAUUGAACGAGUGCGAAGAGCCGAUGGCGAUGGCGAGGACGACGACGACGACGACGACGACGACGACGAGGAGGUGGAGGUUACGGGGAGGUGUCAUGCAGCCGACGAGCUUUUGGAAGGUCUGCUGUCUGCUGCUCGUCCUUGGAUUUCACGAGGCGCGGUCACAGCUGUUGGACACAGAGUUCCAGCCGACGGUGACGGCGAUGUGCCAGACCGGACGCAUGAACAUACGCGUCAACUUCAACCAGAGCUUCGUCGGUGCAGUCCACGCGCGAGGACACAAUAAGGACUACAGGAGGCCGCCGUGUAUGAUCGCUGGCGAUGGCUCCAACAACAUCACUCUCAGCGUCGAUCUGUUCGCUAUGCCCGAUUCGCACGAUUUCUGUGGGAUCGUCGUCAAUAACCGCACCGACGAGCGAUCGCUCUCGAUAGCCGUGAGGAUACACAAAACUCUCGAACUGGCUGACGACAAGUUUUACGUAAUCACGUGUGGCAACACCAAGUACAGGAACGCCAGAAACGAGACGUCCUUGGUGUCCUUGCGGCUGCUGGAUGGUACGAGGCGAGUGCAAGAGGCCAUUUUCGGGCAUAACUACACGCUGCGCGCCGAGAUCUCACCGGUUGACGGUGCUUACGGCUUCCGAGUGAAAUCUUGUCUUGGCUUCGAUACCGACAACCACAACGUCACCAUAAUCGACGAACGAGGGUGCCCCGACAAAGCGAAAUUCAUCACGAAAUUCGUGUACAACCGAAACGCAGGAACAGCCGAGGCAACACUCUCGGCAUUCCGAUUCUCCGAUACCCAAAAGCAGUUGCAUCUACAGUGCGAAAUAGUCCUCUGCAAAGAGAGCUGCGGCGAGCCGGUCUGCUAUGGCGACGAUGCCUCCAGCAAUUUCGCCGUGAGCAAAGGACAGAUAAUACCUCGAGAGGAAGAGGCGGUCUUGCACGCAGGAACGAGCGUGUUUGUUCUUAGUCCCGGCGACACUCCCUUGUUGCAACCAUUGUGCGACGACGGGGCAGUGCACCCGGGCUGGUUGCUCUGGCUUGCGAUAGCCUUGGGUAUUCUGCUGCUGAUAAUGUUUAUAAUCAACGUGUUCCUCUGCUCGGCGAUGACAUGCAGCUGCGCGCGAACCGAAAUCAUCGAGAAAGAACCCUCGAUCAUCGAAGACUACGACCCUUACCGCAGUUGGCAUGGCUCCCAGUACGGCUCGAGGUUUGACUCUUGAUCUCCUCUUGAUUUACAAAAACACAAAAGCUUCUUCGAUUAUGCUAUACCCGUAUUUGACGAUCAGCGAUUGCGUGCGCAUAGCACGGUACUCUCUCAACGGCAAACCCGGCUACACGUCCGGAGGCUCGACGAUGAACUCGACGCGCUCGAUAUCCACCAACAGCGAUCAUUACGCGAUCGUCCAUUCACGACCGGGUAGUCGAUACUCUGGACCCGCCCACAAGCAACACCAUCACCAUCAUCGAGGUCCACCCUCCAACAUCGGAUCGCACUACUCCGCCAAGUGACACCAGUGACUGUAGUUAUUCACAUUCUGUGCAAGUCGAGUGUAUAAGAAUAGUUGGCGUGAAAUUUCGUUGGAAAAUCUUUAUUGGAUUUUGAUAUGAUCAGGGUAAAAGUUUCGAUGGAACUAUGUGUGGAGAGGAUAGGCUAAGUUUUGCGCCAGUUUUUGACUGUAGCCUGUAACUGCCAAGAGUCGAGUGUACCGCGCUCUAUAUAAAAGGGUAUACGCAGACGAGUGAAUCGUGCACGUCGCUAUUUAGCUUUAUCGAUUUUUUUGCACUGACAAAAAUUGUAACUAAUGUAAAUGUACAUUUUUACAGAAAGAAUGUGCACGAUUCACGUUUUACUCUUUUACUUAUCAAAAGAAACGAAUAAAGCUUUCGCAUUCGUUCAGAUUAACACUGUUUUAGAAUGAAAAACUUCCUGCAACGUAGAAACAAUACAAAUAAGCCUUACAUCAAAUUUCGCUUUUGUUCAAUGAUUAUUUUGUUCCCAUCGAACGAAUGUGAAAUACUUAUUUAUUUAUCACGCAACGCGUAUUAAUUUUCCAGUGCCUACGCGUAAAAUAAAUCAAUAAAUAUUCAUCUACAAUAAUGUAUUACUGUACUUAAAAAAACUAUAAGAAAGCUUUUAUACAUAACGAUCCUCAAUGUGCAUCGUUCCUACAAAGGAAAAACAGACAAUAUAUUAUGUACUUCUAGCGACAUGAAAACAUGUAAGCCUUAGUGUGCAAUACCGUGUCUCGAGCGUCAGACGCGUCGACGCUCUCACAUGCAAUAUUAACUAAACAAUUAUCGAACAAGCUUUUGCGUCGCUAUCACGUUAAAAAGUUAUGUGCUUACGCAUAACUAUUUUUAUCCUACCCUGACGAUUAGAUGCGUACUGCGACAUAAAAAAAAAAGAAGAAAAGGAAUAACUCGACGCAACAAUUUCUUAACACUUAAUAAUAUUGUGCUACCCACAGUAUAUUAUAUUACUUCCUUGCGUUAUUAUACGUUUCCCAGUCCGAGAGAUAUGUCGUUAAUUAUUUGCAUACUUCUUUUCUUUGUAUAAGGUUUUUUUAUUGUAAAAAGAAACUACUUAAUAAGUCGAUCGUUUGUAAGAGUUACGACUUUCGUAUAUUUUGUAUACAGAGAAACUCUUGAAAGAGCAUGAAAUAAAAGUGCUGCAUUGAGAAAACCAAGUUUUCCAAUGGAACGCGUCGAAGAACCUCUUUUUUAUAUAAGUAUUGUUGUAACGUAUAGCAUUAUAUUAAGCAAUGGGAAUUCCCGCUAUUCACGUGGUCGUUUGCAUUGUUGAAUAAAGCAAGAAGUGUAACAAUGUAACACUUUAGUAAAUAAUAGACUGAAUUUUGCGAAAAUUCUUGUAUAAAAUAUUAAAACAAAUCCUUGUACAUUCGCGUUCUGACAAAUAAUUAUAUAUGUAACAGUCUUACGAUUAUAUUAAAAUAUAAAUUUUUAGAUAUCUA